ensembl:lncRNA
UGUGUGUGUGUGUGUGUGAUGAUAGAUUUGGAGGGCACCAUAUGCUGUGCGAACAUAUUUUGUUGUUUUUGUCACUUCCUCUCUGCAGGAUAACAGUUCUUUUUUGUUGAGGUUGUAAAGGAGUAACACCUAAUGCUAAGGUGUGUGGUGAAUGUGGAAAGGUGUGAGGGUUUCAUUUAGGCAGUUUUUUUGAUCAAUUUUGUGUAUGAUGUGUUUGUUCUGGUGAAAGUUGUUUGCUCUGGCUUAAGCCUUUUGUGUCGCUGUGACAAUCUUGCAAGAGGUGCAAAGGCUUGUUCUCACCUUCGCAGCGAUGUAUCUGGCGGCACAAAUCGUGAGUGAAAUCAUGAUUUUAGUUUGUGAGAAAACAUGUUGGUGUCGGCAGGGAAGCAGGAUGUGUGUCAAGGACCUCGAAGAGUUCAUGAAUAUGCAAAUGUCAUAGUAUCAAAGCAAUGCUCAAUUGUUAAUGACAAAUCUCAGGAUUUUGUGACACAGCUCGAUUUUUCAACUUGACUUCUAGUUGAUGUUCAGUUACCUGUAAAUGGUCCACGUGGAGAGCUCCACAAAGCAGCGUAGCGUUUGACCACACCAUGUGCGGCCCCUUAGGAAUGCAAGCAUCUUGGAGUGCAAGCCGCAACAGGUUUAACCCACAUCGCCCUGUCAUCUGUGUCCCUGUCACAGGAGAACAAAGAGGGAUGACGAAAGCAACAACGGACAUUGAUGCAUCGUUAAGAAAUGCAAUUAAGAAUGUUUCAUUUCUGUUUUUUUUUUUUAUUUUUUUUUAAAAAUCUGAUGUAAGGACAUAAAUCGGAGUGUGCAUUUCAGCUAGCAUUAAAGAUCAUCCGUCACAUUUGUUUAGUCACAGAAAGUGCUGUGCAUGCAGAUCUGAGCACAAGCUUUGGUGUAAUUUAAUCAUUUUGAGCUCUUAAUUACACACCCAUACUGAUCUGAUGGAACCCCAUGUCACUGUGUGCAUUAUUUGUUAUUGAAAUGGCUCGAGUACAUUGAGCUCAGCAGCAGCAGGUCAGCGAGCUUUAAUUACAGUAUGAAUUAUUAUGAGUAUUAUUUAUUAGAUUGCCAAUGUGAGCACAGAUGUACCAUGAUAAACACCUAGUAUAUGCCGUAUUGCUGGUACAUCUGGUACCUCUGGUACAUCUACCAUACACAGUGCCCUCCCCUGAUAUUGGCACCUUAUAAGCAAAGAAGGCUGUGACAAAUUGUCUUUAUUGUUUAACCUUUUAUUUUAAAAAAAUUCCCAAAAUUCUCUGCUCUCAUGGAUAUCAGACAAUUGCAAACAAAAAAACAGGUUAUUUAAAAAAAAAAAAAAUCUUUGUUAAAUAUAGGUGUGCAACAAUUAUUGGCACUCUUUUAGUCAGUACUUUGUGCUAUGUCCAUUUGCCAAGAUAACAGCUCUGAGUCUUCUCCUAUAAUGCCUGGUGAGGUUGGAGAAUACAUGGCAAGAGAUCUGAGACCGUUCCUCCAUACAGAAUCUCUCCAGAUCCUUCACAUUUCGAGGUGACACUGGAGUACUCUCCUCUUCAGUUCACCCCAUGGGUUUUCUAUGGGUUUCAAGUCAGGGGACUGGGAUGGCCAUGGCAGGAUCUUGAUUUUCUGAGUGGGCAGUAAGAACCAGAAGGUCACUCUGAUGGAACUACAGAGGUCCUGCACAAGUGGACAAAUCCUAAAUUUUCUAGCGAUGCCAGAGAAAAAAUGAAAGCUCCAGUGUGCACAGAAAUGGACUAAUCUAAAGAGUGGUAGCUAAGGGUCACAGGGAGCCUGGAGCCUAUCCCAGUGGACUUGGGGCACAAGGCAGGGGGACACCCUGGAUGUCAGGUGUGUCAGGAUGUCAGGUGCCAACCCAUUGUAGGGCACAAUCUCACACACACUACAGACAAUUUGGAAAUCAAUCUUUGGACUGGCGGAGGAAACCCGAGUACUCAGAGAAAACCCCCAAUGCACAAGGAGAACAUGCAAAGUCUGCGCACACAGGGCGGAGGUGGGAUUCGAACCCCAAUCCUGAAGGUGCGAGGCAAAUGUGCUAACCACUAAGCCAUGAUUAUUAUCCAUUUAAGUUUCUAAAGUAGCACAUUGUAUGUGUACUGUACCGUUAAUAAACAGUCAACUAAUCUUUUGCGAAUGUUCUGUGGCUCCAUACAAGUUUGAACUCUUUAGCAUGAAUGCCAAGUGCUACAUCAACAGAUCAUAACACAUAGGCAUCUUUGUAGAAAAAAAAAGUGAUCAGAACCUCACACAUGGUCGAAAGUUAACCUUUAGACAACAGAAACACACAGAGAAGACACGACUAUGAUCAUCCUUGAGUGGUCUAGACGGAGCUUGGUUUUUACCCAGUUGAAUGUUUCUGGAAAGACCUGGAGGUUCCUCUAAACAGACUGGAGGAAUAUCCUUGAAUUCAGGUGUGCCAAGCUCAUAGCAUCAGACUCAAAAAGACUGUAAUUACUGCCAAUACUGCUUUAACAAUGCAUUGAGUAAAGGGUCUGAAUAUUUGUUUCAAAUAUAUCUUUCACAGAUUCAGAAGGAAAAAAAAUGAAUGCAGUACAUUUCAGAGAAAAGAGUAAUGUAGGUGGAUACACCGUGCAUGUGUGUACAGUACCCUACAGCUGCAGAAGCACUUAACUUGCACUGCUGAUGAAGGACUUUUGUCUGAAACAUCUUGAUUCUCUGGUAACCUUGAGUACUUCAUUGAACUUUUACUACUUAUACCAUGUACUAACAAGGCUAUUUAAGGUCUUUGCUAUGGCUCUGUUGCUUUUCCUACUUGAGUUGUAUUUAGUAAUGUUGACCCUGAGUGUCUCAACAUGUUUUCCUGAUAAAUUAUUUUUUUUUUAAACAAAAUGUCUUUAUUUAUGCUAAUGAAUGCACACUGUUUUGUUCAUAUUCAUAAAUACGAGUGUGUG